rnacentral:tRNA from 1 species
UGUCCAGGGAUGGGAAUCGAACCCACAGUGUUCUGCUUACCGGGCAGAUGCCAUGUCCACUAGGCUACCCGGGAC